UUCCCCUGACUAUGGGCAAAGAGACACCUGACUGGUGAUGGCGCUCGUAUAUCAGUCAGGGACAGACCAACUUGAAGUCCUUUGUUCAUCCUAGCGGAUGCUUGGAUUGUAGCCAGAGUGGUUUCAUGCAUAGUACACAUUA